UGGGGAAUAUUGCACAAUGGGCGAAAGCCUGAUGCAGCGACGCCGCGUGAGGUAUGACGGCCUUCGGGUUGUAAACCUCUUUCAGUAGGGACGAAGCGCAAGUGACGGUACCUGCAGAAGAAGCACCGGCUAACUACGUGCCAGCAGCCGCGGUAAUACGUAGGGUGCGAGCGUUGUCCGGAAUUACUGGGCGUAAAGAGCUCGUAGGCGGUUUGUCACGUCGUCUGUGAAAUCCUAGGGCUUAACCCUGGACGUGCAGGCGAUACGGGCUGACUUGAGUACUACAGGGGAGACUGGAAUUUCUGGUGUAGCGGUGGAAUGCACAGAUAUCAGGAAGAACACCGAUGGCGAAGGCAGGUCUCUGGGUAGUAACUGACGCUGAGGAGCGAAAGCAUGGGUAGCGAACAGG
rnacentral:rRNA from 1 species